rnacentral:sRNA from 1 species
GAUCAAUAAUUUAGAAAGAAGCUUAUACAUUAAGAAUAAAAGAUAUUUAACUGAAUGAGAGUAUUUGGAUCAGAGAGAGAGAGAGAGAGAGAGAGACAGAAACUUUAAUCAGAAAAUGGUUAAUAUAUAUGUGUUGUAUCAUCUGCAAGAGACUGUGCUUUUAUCUUCAUCUUUAUUUAGAAGCAGAAAGACAAUUGGUCUGUGAAUAUUUCAAAGACCCAGAUGGAGUACCAUUGUUUAAGUGCCUCAUUUACACUGUUGGUUAUUAUCCACUUAUUAUUACUCACGAUCACCUAUUGAUUUUUUUGGUAGAUAUUUCAACUUUGCUUAUUGCAUAACAUGAAAUGAAUGUCAAUAGCUCUUAAAAAGAGUAAAGAGAUGUAGCUAUUGAGCUCAAAAUCUAUGAUUAUCCUGAUUUUCAUUACAAACAACAAUGCUGCUCCUUUUUGGGGUCCUCAUUUACCCGUGCCCUGUUACACGAUAUAUUUUUACGCCUGUACUAUUACUACUUUUAUAGUUUUAUUAAUAUUUUAAGACAGUAUCUAUACCUUGUUAUUCUACGUCAUUUUAUUUUUGGGACUAAUGGUUAUCAGUAUUUAUCUAUCUGCUGAGGACAAAAAUAUUUUCCUGUCAUUUUUGAGCCAGGUCUAGACUUCUCUGCCUAUUUUAUAUUUCAUUGUGUACUUGUGUUGUUCCAGGCAUCAUUUUUUGCUCAAUAAUGUUCUAUUUUAGUAAGGUACAAUCAGGUUGUUUGUUUUGUGCAUUUUUCAGUGUUAAAAAAGACAACUCUAGUUUCACUCACAUUACUGAGUUAUAGAACUUGGUUUUACAAAGCAUUUUGUUUUUCUUUGUAAUCUGUUGCAUGUUGUAUACAACUUGUUUCAUAUAUAUAUUUCAUCAGAUAUUCCUCAUCCCACCGUUAUUAGGGAGUUAAUUGGAAGCACGAUAUAUCAAGCCAAAAUUUCCAUUUAUUAAGCUACGGUAAUCUAGUUGUUCAAGCAUUUGUUAAUUGAUUUCUUUUCUAUGUAUAUGCUAAUGUUUCAUAAUAUUGUGUAACAUUACUACAACUUGCAUUAUAUUUAUUUUUUUCCUUCUUUGAUUAAUACAUCAUUUUUUUUCUUGUUGCUACUGAGCGGCUCUAAUUUGGAAUAUUUUCUACUUGGGUCAAAUUUGUGUAUUACAAAUACUGUUCUUAAUGUGUGUGCAUUUUCCUAAUAAUAUUCUCUGUAAAAUCUUCACUGUAUAAAAAUGGAGAUUUAAAAAAAAAAAUAAUUUACAUAGUUGAGCAAGAGAAAACAAUACUAAACCAGAGCUACCAGAAAUUAAAGAAAAAAAAAACAGUUCUUGACACAAAAUGAUGGGGCCUGGUAUUUUUUCUGAGAUUGGUUUUCAAUGCGUUGCCUGGAAACACCUUUAAUUGUAUCAGGCAGGAACACAGUUGUAUAUCCGCAUGUAAACAAUACUUAAAUGACAUAUAGAAAGUUUAGAUUAAAAUCAUCUAUGCUAUC